UACGAAGGGGGCUAGCGUUGCUCGGAUUGACUGGGCGUAAAGGGCGCGUAGGCGGUUCGUACAGUCAGACGUGAAAUUCCUGGGCUCAACCUGGGGGCUGCGCUUGAUACGGCAGAGCUUGAGGAUGGAAGAGGGUCGCGGAAUUCCCAGUGUAGAGGUGAAAUUCGUAGAUAUUGGGAAGAACACCGGUGGCGAAGGCGGCGACCUGGUCCAUUACUGACGCUGAGGCGCGACAGCGUGGGGAGCAAACAGG
rnacentral:rRNA from 1 species